rnacentral:rRNA from 1 species
CUUCGGCGCACCCAGAAACCCUUUGUGAACUUAUACCUAUUUGUUGCCUCGGCGCAGGCCGGCCUCUUCACUGAGGCCCCCUGGAAACAGGGAGCAGCCCGCCGGCGGCCAACUAAACUCUUGUUUCUAUAGUGAAUCUCUGAGUAAAAAACAUAAAUGAAUCAAAACUUUCAACAACGGAUCUCUUGGUUCUGGCAUCGAUGAAGAACGCAGCGAAAUGCGAUAAGUAAUGUGAAUUGCAGAAUUCAGUGAAUCAUCGAAUCUUUGAACGCACAUUGCGCCCUCUGGUAUUCCGGAGGGCAUGCCUGUUCGAGCGUCAUUUCAACCCUCAAGCCUGGCUUGGUGAUGGGGCACUGCCUUCUAACGAGGGCAGGCCCUGAAAUCUAGUGGCGAGCUCGCUAGGACCCCGAGCGUAGUAGUUAUAUCUCGUUCUGGAAGGCCCUGGCGGUGCCCUGCCGUUAAACCCCCAACUUCUGAAAAUUUGACCUCGGAUCAGGUAGGAAUACCCGCUGAACUUAAGCAUAUCAAUAAGCGGAGGAAAAGAAACCAACAGGGAUUGCCCUAGUAACGGCGAGUGAAGCGGCAACAGCUCAAAUUUGAAAUCUGGCUUCGGCCCGAGUUGUAAUUUGCAGAGGAUGUUUCUGGCGCGGUGCCUUCCGAGUUCCCUGGAACGGGACGCCACAGAGGGUGAGAGCCCCGUAUGGUCGGACACCAAGCCUGUGUGAAACUCCUUCAACGAGUCGAGUAGUUUGGGAAUGCUGCUCUAAAUGGGAGGUAAAUCUCUUCUAAAGCUAAAUACCGGCCAGAGACCGAUAGCGCACAAGUAGAGUGAUCGAAAGAUGAAAAGCACCUUGAAAAGGGGGUUAAAUAGUACGUGAAA